GAGACUGAGGACUGUCGAGCUGUUCAUCUGUCACCCCACUGAUCGCCAGCAUUGAUUUGGCUGAUCUGGCAGACUAGGCAGAUGUCGCCUUCCUCCCUCAUAUGAGUGCUCAUAUGACUCCUUCCCAAAGCUGUGCAUUUGAUAGAAGAGGACAACCUUCCAUUUUCAAUCAAGGGUAUAAAGGCA
rnacentral:snRNA from 1 species